rnacentral:lncRNA from 10 species
CCGUUUCUAGAACAACAGAGCUAUGAACAUCAAUGAGGAAAGGAUUAUCUCUCAGAGAAGUGAUGUCAAAAGGAGGUGCUUCUAAUGAUGCCAAAGGUGGGGAUGAGACUAAGCGCGUCAGUUCAAGGGUCCACGUGUAUUUGAGUGCAUCCAGGAGAGGUCUCUAUGGACAUAAAUGUCUAUGGAACAAAACAAGACAAAGCAACCUUGAAUUAUUAGCUGAGACCUAACUCCAAACCGUCCUGCAAACUACAGCACAUCCAGGCUCUAUCUCACGGAGAUUUCCUUUUCUUAAGCUAAGUGGCCCUGAAGGAGUCUGGGGAGGAUGCUGGUGACAUCCCCACCCAGACCCUGUUACUGGGCCGGUGCCCCCACACUCCUGCUGCUCUGAGUGGGGCCUACUAAAAACUCACAGCUCCUGCCUUCUCUAGAGAUUUCACCCACAGGACUUCUUCAGCAAUAGGAGACACUUCACUGGAAACAUACAUGCCCCUCACAACUGUCCCCUGCAGCCUGCAUCCAAUGACUAACCAAUAGGAGAUAUGAGAGGACACCCCUUGUUUCAAAGUCAGA